UACGAAGGGAGCUAGCGUUGUUUGGAAUCACUGGGCGUAAAGCGCACGUAGGCGGAUUUGUCAGUCAGGGGUGAAAUCCCGGGGCUCAACCUCGGAACUGCCUUUGAUACAGCAAGUCUUGAGUUCGAGAGAGGUGGGUGGAAUUCCUAGUGUAGAGGUGAAAUUCGUAGGUAUUAGGAAGAACACCGGUGGCGAAGGCGGCCCACUGGCUCGAUACUGACGCUGAGGUGCGAAAGCGUGGGGAGCAAACAGG
rnacentral:rRNA from 1 species